rnacentral:rRNA from 1 species
UAAGCCGUUGAAGGUGUCCUGUGAGGGGUGCUGGAGGUAUCAGAAGUGCGAAUGCUGACAUAAGUAACGAUAAAGCGGGUGAAAAGCCCGCUCGCCGGAAGACCAAGGGUUCCUGUCCAACGUUAAUCGGGGCAGGGUGAGUCGACCCCUAAGGCGAGGCCGAAAGGCGUAGUCGAUGGGAAACGGGUUAAUAUUCCCGUACUUGGUGUUACUGCGAAGGGGGGACGGAGAAGGCUAUGUUGGCCGGGCGACGGUUGUCCCGGUUUAAGCGUGUAGGUGUGUGUUCCAGGUAAAUCCGGUUCACUUUAACACUGAGGCGUGAUGACGAGGCACCACGGUGCUGAAGCAACAAAUGCCCUGCUUCCAGGAAAAGCCUCUAAGCAUCAGGUAACAUCAAAUCGUACCCCAAACCGACACAGGUGGUCAGGUAGAGAAUACCAAGGCGCUUGAGAGAACUCGGGUGAAGGAACUAGGCAAAAUGGUGCCGUAACUUCGGGAGAAGGCACGCUGACACGUAGGUGAAGUGAUUUACUCAUGGAGCUGAAGUCAGUCGAAGAUACCAGCUGGCUGCAACUGUUUAUUAAAAACACAGCACUGUGCAAACACGAAAGUGGACGUAUACGGUGUGACGCCUGCCCGGUGCCGGAAGGUUAAUUGAUGGGGUCAGCGCAAGCGAAGCUCCUGAUCGAAGCCCCGGUAAACGGCGGCCGUAACUAUAACGGUCCUAAGGUAGCGAAAUUCCUUGUCGGGUAAGUUCCGACCUGCACGAAUGGCGUAAUGAUGGCCAGGCUGUCUCCACCCGAGACUCAGUGAAAUUGAACUCGCUGUGAAGAUGCAGUGUACCCGCGGCAAGACGGAAAGACCCCGUGAACCUUUACUAUAGCUUGACACUGAACAUUGAGCCUUGAUGUGUAGGAUAGGUGGGAGGCUUUGAAGCGUGGACGCCAGUCUGCGUGGAGCCGACCUUGAAAUACCACCCUUUAAUGUUUGAUGUUCUAACGUGGACCCGUAAUCCGGGUUGCGGACAGUGUCUGGUGGGUAGUUUGACUGGGGCGGUCUCCUCCUAAAGAGUAACGGAGGAGCACGAAGGUUGGCUAAUCCUGGUCGGACAUCAGGAGGUUAGUGCAAUGGCAUAAGCCAGCUUGACUGCGAGCGUGACGGCGCGAGCAGGUGCGAAAGCAGGUCAUAGUGAUCCGGUGGUUCUGAAUGGAAGGGCCAUCGCUCAACGGAUAAAAGGUACUCCGGGGAUAACAGGCUGAUACCGCCCAAGAGUUCAUAUCGACGGCGGUGUUUGGCACCUCGAUGUCGGCUCAUCACAUCCUGGGGCUGAAGUAGGUCCCAAGGGUAUGGCUGUUCGCCAUUUAAAGUGGUACGCGAGCUGGGUUUAGAACGUCGUGAGACAGUUCGGUCCCUAUCUGCCGUGGGCGCUGGAAGACUGAGGGGGGCUGCUCCUAGUACGAGAGGACCGGAGUGGACGCAUCACUGGUGUUCGGGUUGUCAUGCCAAUGGCACUGCCCGGUAGCUAAAUGCGGAAAAGAUAAGUGCUGAAAGCAUCUAAGCACGAAACUUGCCCCGAGAUGAGUCUUCCCUGAGACCUUGAGUCUCCUGAAGGAACGUUAAAGACGAUGACGUUGAUAGGCCGGGUGUGUAAGCGCAGCGAUGC